rnacentral:rRNA from 1 species
AAUCAACGCUGGCGGCGCGCUUAACACAUGCAAGUCGAACGGGAAAGUGAGCAAUCAUGAGUACAGUGGCGUACGGGUGAGUAACACGUGGAUAAUCUACCUUUUAGUGGGGAAUAACUUUGGGAAACCGAAGCUAAUACCGCAUAAGCUCGAGAGAGGAAAGCCGUAAGGCGCUGAAAGAGGAGUCCGCGGCCGAUUAGCUAGUUGGCAGGGUAAAAGCCUACCAAGGCAGAGAUCGGAGCCGGCCUGAGAGGGCACACGGCCACACUGGCACUGAAACACGGGCCAGACUCCUACGGGAGGCAGCAGUGGGGAAUCUUGCACAAUGGGGGCAACCCUGAUGCAGCGACGCCGCGUGAGCGAUGAAGCCCUUCGGGUGUAAAGCUCUUUCGUCAGGAAGAUAGUGACGGUACCGUGAGAAGCAGCUGCGGCUAACUACGUGCC